UGGGGAAUAUUGGACAAUGGGGGCAACCCUGAUCCAGCCAUGCCGCGUGAGUGAUGAAGGCCUUCGGGUUGUAAAGCUCUUUUGACGGGGACGAUGAUGACGGUACCCGCAGAAUAAGCCCCGGCUAACUUCGUGCCAGCAGCCGCGGUAAGACGAAGGGGGCUAGCGUUGUUCGGAAUUACUGGGCGUAAAGCGAGUGUAGGCGGUUGCCGUAGUCAGGUGUGAAAGCCUUGAGCUCAACUCAAGAAAUGCACUUGAUACUGGGUGACUAGAGGACCGGAGAGGAUAGUGGAAUUCCCAGUGUAGUGGUGAAAUACGUAGAGAUUGGGAAGAACACCAGUGGCGAAGGCGGCUAUCUGGACGGUUACUGACGCUAAGACUCGAAAGCGUGGGGAGCAAACAGGAUUAGAUACCCUGGUAGUCCACGCCGUAAACGAUGGGUGCUAGACGUUGGCGAGCUUGCUCGUCAGUGUCGCAGCUAACGCGUUAAGCACCCCGCCUGGGGAGUACGGCCGCAAAGGGUUUGAAAAACUUU
rnacentral:rRNA from 1 species